GGAAUCCUUGUCUGGGAGAGCAAAAUGCCCAAUGAACGUCUAGUGAGGGCAUUGCUGCUAACACCCAUUUACAUAGUAUGCCACGACGAAUACAGGCAUGCAUCAAUGCAAGA